CGGAUAGAGCUAGCAAAAUCGCUCGUAUUCAGCCAAAGACCCAUGGGCGUCAUUCGUUGAGUUGCUAAUCAUGCUCUGCGUGUGACUGUCUUGUGGGUUGAGGUGCAUUUGCGGGCGUAUGCGCUGAGACUUGUGGGGUAGCUGCAAUACCCGUGCUUAGAGGCCUCCCUCUGGGUGGAACCUAUAUGCGGUGAAGGCGGUUUGCCCUGCUCGUAUGUUGAGACGGAUUGCUUUUUCUGUGCUGCUGUUUCCUUGCAAUGGUAUCGCAUGCGAUGCCUAGCUUGGGAGCUGUGGUGUAGGCCGGGUAGCCGUUUCUUUCUCGGUGUAGAAGCUGGUCAUCUCUCCGACCCGUCUUGAAACACGGACCAAGGAGUUUAGCGUUUGCGCGAGUCAUUGGGUGUUCAAAACUCAUAGGCGCAAUGAAAGUGAAGGCCCGGUCGCUGGGCUGACAUGCGAGUGUUGAGGCUUCGGCCCUGACAUUAAGCGUGGUCCCGUUCUAGUCGCUUGCGACGGAGCGGAGACAGAGCGUAUGCGCUGAG
rnacentral:rRNA from 1 species